UACGAAGGGGGGCUAGCGUUGCUCGGAAUCACUGGGCGUAAAGGGUGCGUAGGCGGGUCUUUUAAGUCAGGGGGUGAAAUCCUGGAGCUCAACUCCAGAACUGCCUUUGAUACUGAAGAUCUUGAGUUCGGGAGAGGUGAGUGGAACUGCGAGUGUAGAGGUGAAAUUCGUAGAUAUUAGCUAGAACACCAGUGGCGAAGGCGGCCAACUGGUCCGGUACUGACGCUGAGGUGCGAAAGCGUGGGGAGCAAACAGG
rnacentral:rRNA from 1 species